UCACGAAAAGAAAUCUAGGAGAAACAAACCACAGGUGUCACUCUGCGAAGAAGAAAAGCAAAAAUCCUGAUGGAUCAUACACAUACUCAUUCAGCGUGCGAAAUGCCACAGGACAUUACAUAAAAUGGGAAACCAACAUGACACCAGUAAAAACUGGACAACAUACUGAACCAAAUGCCGUACGCUACGCAUUCCUGCUGGGGGGACCUGCAGUGGAAAGCAAGCUUAUGACCGUCCAGCCU